rnacentral:tRNA from 1 species
GCCUGGCUGGCUCAGUCAGUUGAGCAUCUGACUUCGGCUCAGGUCAUGAUCUCACGGUGCGUGGGUUGGAGCCCCACAUCGGGUG